rnacentral:rRNA from 1 species
CUAGUAACGGCGAGUGAACAGGCAAGAGCUCAGAUUUGAAAGGCACUUUUGUGCCGUUGUAUUCUGAAGUUAGGGUCCUGAGAAACGAUGCUUAAGUCUUCUGGAAAGGAGCGCCAUGGAGGGUGAUAGCCCCGUCUAGCAUUGACCUCAUAUAGGAUCUUAACAUGGAGUCGAGUUGUUUGGGAAUGCAGCUCAAAUGGGUGGUAUGCUCCAUCUAAAGCUAAAUAUCUGCGAGAGACCGAUAGUAAACAAGUACUGUGAGGGAAAGAUGAAAAGAACUUUGAAAAGAGAGUGAAAAAGUACGUGAAAUUGUUGAAAUGGAAGGGUAGGCCGCUAACCAUGUAGAGCCGUGUUUGGGGGGAAGAUAAAUGCUGUAGAAUGUAGCUCCUCGGAGUAUUAUAGAUGCAGUUCAUAUUCCCACCCGAGCGCGAGGAUCUCAGGUUCUACUAAAUGGUGGUCUACCACCCGUCUUGAAACACGGACCA